CCAUAUUUCCUCCAUUGAUAUCCAUCCUUCAGAACUAGGCUUGUAUCGGAUGGAUCUGUCCGAAGAAGAACUCUUGAAAUCUUUGUUUUGCUGGUUUCUUUUGGCCUUCUAGUUGAAUCUAGUUCAUCACUAGAGCUGCUUUCAGUAGUUCCAUUAUUAUUGAUUGCAAUCAUAUUACUAUAAUCUUCGCUCUCGGCCUUUCUCUUCCUAGAUGCAGCCAGUAGCUCUUUCUCGGAGUUCUUGCUCAUCAGAUAAACCAAAUGGUUUUGCAAAGCAUUGUAAU
rnacentral:misc_RNA from 1 species